UACGUAGGGUGCGAGCGUUAAUCGGAAUUGCUGGGCGUAAAGGGUGCGCAGGCGGCUUUGCAAGACAGAUGUGAAAUCCCCGGGCUCAACCUGGGAACUGCAUUUGUGACUGCAAGGCUAGAGUACGGCAGAGGGGGAUGGAAUUCCGCGUGUAGCAGUGAAAUGCGUAGAUAUGCGGAGGAACACCAAUGGCGAAGGCAAUCCCCUGGGCCUGUACUGACGCUCAUGCACGAAAGCGUGGGGAGCAAACAGG
rnacentral:rRNA from 1 species